UGCUUUGUUACUCGAUUUUUAUUUGCAACUAUACUAUUUAAUAACAUGUUAAUUUUUAGAAGAAAAGCAAAAGAUUACAAAAAGCAAGUAUGCAUUCCAUUAUUGGUUUUAAUGUGGAAAUAUGCGAUUGCACGAUCACAUCGUUAUUGCCACUCUUUUUGGGAAAUCUUUAGCGGUGUCUCGGUAUUUUUCCUUUUAUUUUUCGUUUAUCAAACGACUAAGAGCGCGAGGUCUGAGCCUGACUUCAAUCAAUCUGUGGUAAGGGUGUUCUUCACUCCAGAUAAUAGUUAUACAAGACGGCUAAUUAACAGAGCUGCGAAUUAUUUAGCUCAAAAUGAAAUCGAAACUGGAACAAAUCGGCAGUGGAGGUUUGAAGGCUUCAAGUAUCCAUUGGAUGAAAGAAAAUUUAAUAGCUCCCAAGAUGUUGUGGUGGUGGACUUUAAAGUAUAUUUUUUACAUAUUUUAUAGUGAGGGAAACCCAUGACAGAUUACCGUACACUGCAACUAUUGUAACCUAGCGAUUUAUAAAAAUUAAGUACUUCUACAUACACCUACCACCUUUUUUUGUGAAGAUGAAAGAUCAUGUAAUGACUACAAGGGUGUUGGAUUUUUACUGAUUAAAAAGAAAAUACUUCUUCCAACUCUUCUUCUCUACGCCAAGGCCUCAAUUCCAAUCUCGCUUAAAACUCUGCAUAAAUCCUUGAAGAGGUUGUAUGCAUAGAGGUUGUUUUUUUAUCAUGUGGGAAACCUUUAAAAGUGUAGCAUUUUGGGGACAAAGACUUAAGGACUGUGGAAUUCUGCACAUACUAAAACCUCCAUGGUCACCUUGUACCUAAGUUCCAGCUAGGUAGUAGUAACUCUACAAACACUCCUUUGGAGUACUCUAUAGAUGCUGGCACUAGAGUGCAAGAUAACAAAUUCAACAAAGCAAUAAAUGGAUAUUUUCGUAGUUUUGUUCCACCAGAGAAAGUGGCUCCACCACACAUGGGAUUGCUUCAAUGGGCAAUAGACAAGUCUUACAUAGAACAACGUAUUGGAAAGGCCAUUGUACAGACGGUGUCAUUGAUAACUAUUCCGAAGUACAUAUCUGAAGAACUACACACUUUGCACAAGUUCAUGAUAUUGUGCACAAUAAUUGCGCCACUGCCUUUCUUUCUUUCUCAUUCAGCGACUUUAAUCAUGGAAAGAAGAUCAGGAUUGAGGGUAAGAUACUGCUAUACUGGAGCUAUUUAAAUUAA